UAUUAUCUCACUUGGUUUGGGUUGGCACAGGAUAAUGCAAACUGUGUUAAGUUAGAUUUCUUUUACGCUCUAUUGCUGCCCCAAAUUGCAAUUGGGUUUGCCCAUUGCCCAUUCUCUAUUCCAAAAGUGAAGCUUCCAAAUGCACCCUGACAUUUAAACACCUUUCAAGCUCUUUUUAAAACUUUUCAUAUUAUUGCUAAAGUAAUUUGUGAGGGAAAAAAAUGUAAAUCACAACAUGUGUAUACCCGUGCCACAUGAGCCGACUCAAUCAUCCGGCGAGCCAUGCUUGUGCUAAGAAAAUGGACAGAAAACCACCAACUACAGCAUGUUUGGCAUAGGAAAAUGGACAGAAAACCAUCAACUACAGCAUGUUUGGCAUAGGAAAAUCUCUUAGUUUGGAACAUCUUAGCCACAUAUCGUACAUGUGACCCAAGUUGAAACUUGGUUGUGUACAUGAUUCCCAUCCACCACUAAUGGAUGGUUGGAUAUCUAGGAACAGAGUCUCAUUUAGAAACGAGAAUGUAUGAAUCUUGCUGUAGAAUUAUUUUAACUGCUCCAAUUUUAUCUUUGUUAAUUAUAGUUUCUGUUGUAGGUUGUGAGAUGUGAGUUGUCGGUUGUCCCUACAAGGGAAUUACCAUCUGAGGAAUGUCCAACCUACCUCUCUAGUUCCCAAUCAACUAUAUUUUAAUCCUACUACUGUGAAAAUGUUGAGCAACCUGAAGUAUGAAAGCAAUGCACGGUUCAUGAGGUGGUCAACAUGUGUAGUAAGCUUUCGGAUCAAAGCAAAGCCGAGAAUAGGGUGUUAGUUGAUGGAAAAUUGAUAACCAGUAGAGGCACAUCCAUGGAGUUGUCGCUUGCGAUUGUUGAGAAGCUAUUUGGCUGCGAGAAGGCAUUGGAUCUUGUUGUCAAUGAGAACUUUAAAUAGACAUAUAACUUUUAUGU